UAAGCCAUUAAACACCAUUCCACAACCUAUAAAAGCAAGAACUGAAUGAAAGAGGGUUCCCUCACUAUACAAAUAAUCUGGUUUUGUCUUCUCCGAGCCGUCGUCAUAUUUUAGGGUUCAUUUCCAUGCAAUGAUAGGUCUAGUUCUUUCCUUUCCGUUAAUGAGUUGAGAGCCUUUGUUUCCAAUUUUACUUGGAGCAAAACUAUCUCAAUUUAAAGUCAGAGGAGGGGAAUAGCAGCAGGCCCGACCCUUCCCUGCUUUACGUGUUGGGUUGCUCUCUCUUCUCAAAUAGUGACAACUAUAUCCACCUUGGCUACCUUUUGUAUUUGGAGAACCUUUCUAGGGUCUCGCUCUACGACUGGAGAGGUGCUGCUUUGGCCACCUUGUAUGCAUUUAUGGGCUCAGUUUUCCGGGGAGAGCACCUCAACGUUGCAGCGUUGCUGGCUGGCUAGUGGAGGGUUUGGAAGGCCCCCCAAUGUUCCUCCAGGAACUUGCAUAAAAGGAACUACCCGUUCAGAAGAGAGAAGACGAAGGAAAAAACAAAAGACAUAACAUCCCCGAUCUUCUGAAUCUUCUCUGAAGAGGAGGGAACAACCUAACGGUUUGAUGUCGGUUUUCCUACCCGACUCAAUGAGAAUAUAGCUUCAUAGCUCUACGACCAAGCAUAUCAUCCCCUAUCUUCGUUGCACCCUGGACGGAGAUAUAUUUCCUUUCACACGUUCGAAUGAGAAAACAGACAGCCGAAAAGGGAGGGGAAAGGAAAAAACAUAAGAGAUAUCUACUUGAUUUUAGGCUUCUCUUGCUUGGCCUAUAAUCUUUCCCGCUCUUCUUAUUUGUCGGCCUCUUCACAAAUUCGGCGACAUCACCCAAUUGAGCAUCCAUAUCAGGCUUCAUCAGCGACAUCACAAUGAUGCCGCUUGUGCUUAUUUGGAUAGCUAUGGUAGGCAUUUUGAUUGCGCUUUCUGUAAUAAUCAGUACUCCUGCAGCUUACGACACACAGAAGAUUCCCAUAGUCAUGACAGAGAUGUACGAUGCUUCCGGAAACAAGUACAGUAUCAGUGAACUCCUAAAUGGUGGUCGAAUAAUUUUAAAUGUGAAUGCAUACGGGGAGUACUCCGUCACUCGCUUCACCACAUUUAGAAUUGCCUCAUAUGCCUUAUUGUUCUCAGCAAUAUCAACGGGCUUGGUGCAAGUACUAACGAAGUAUGGAAGGUAUUAUUAGUUCAUCUGUCCACUCGCCAGAUGUCCCACCGCACCUGGCAUAGUGGUCAAAUCUCUGUUGUCAUGGCUUCUCUCGCUCAUGGCUGUUUUUUGGCUCUUCCUGGCCGUUUCUCUUUCCUAGCUUCUCCUGGUUUCUCUUGGCUUUGCUUGGCGUGGCUGCUCCUGGUUUCUUUUUAAUUGGCUUGGUUGUUCUUGGUUUCUCGUGGCUUUUUCAAACUCAAGUUAGUAGAUCUACUUGAGUUUGAAGGGGGAUGUUAACAUAAUAUUGAGAAAUAUUAUGUUACCAUGUUUUGUAGGUUUUAUUAUUCAUGUUUCCAAGUUGGACUGAUUUCUUUAUAAUGCAUGUUUCCUAUUUAGUUUAUAUUUCGUAGUGACCAAGAACAUUGUAGCCUAUAUAAAGGCAUGCUAGGGUUAUAUUUCAUACAUAAUCAAUAAUACAUCAUUCCGCUUUUAUUCACA